UACGUAGGGGGCAAGCGUUGUCCGGAUUUAUUGGGCGUAAAGAGCGUGUAGGCGGCCAAGCAGGUCCGCUGUGAAACUCGAGGCUCAACCUCGAGACGUCGGUGGAAACCGUUUGGCUAGAGUCCGGAAGAGGAGAGUGGAAUUCCCGGUGUAGCGGUGAAAUGCGCAGAUAUCGGGAAGAACACCCGUGGCGAAGGCGGCUCUCUGGGACGGUACUGACGCGUGAGACGCGAAAGCGUGGGAGCGAACGAGG
rnacentral:rRNA from 1 species